rnacentral:rRNA from 1 species
GUGCCAGCCGCCGCGGUAAUACGGGGGGUGCAAGCGUUAUUCGGAAUCAUUGGGCGUAAAGGGCGCGUAGGCGGCCCCUUAAGUCAGAUGUGAAAGCCCUCAGCUUAACUGAGGAAGUGCAUUUGAAACUAAGGGGCUUGAGUAUGGGAGAGGGAAGCGGAAUUCCUGGUGUAGCGGUGAAAUGCGUAGAUAUCAGGAGGAACACCGGUGGCGAAGGCGGCUUCCUGGACCAAUACUGACGCUGAGGCGCGAAGGCGUGGGGAGCAAACAGGAUUAGAUACCCCCGUAGUCC